CAUGGCUGGGGUGAGAUGGUGUAGGCGGUACAACAACAUGUGAAGUCUGUGAGCUUUGAGCUGAGGAGGGAGCUGAGGGACAGUGACGUCACCAACCUGAACGCCCAUGGAGAGAUACUGGUGCCACACACUGUACAGGCGACAGAUGUCAACGGGAGGAGGACCUAUCACACAGCAGAGACACUCGUCAUUGCCGUGUGGGACGGGGAACAAUACUUGAUCAUACCUGGAGACAGAGAGCACUGCAUCACCAGUGAUAACUUAUUCUCUCUGGCCCACACUCCUGGAUGGACCCUGGUUGUGCGGGGAUCCAGUGAGGGACUGGAGUGUGCUGGCUUCCUGUCUGAUCUGGGGUUAGAGGUCACCGUCCUGGUGCGGUCACACCUGGUACCUGGGUUCGACCACAAAAGGGCGCAGAAGAUUGAGAACCACAUGCUCAAGUUCCUCCAUCACUACACACGUACUGGAGUUGAAGUGUUAUGGUGUCAAAUAUUGAGGAAUUGCAAAUAAUGUAGCGUUUGUAUAUAUAUAUAUAUAUAUAUAUCUGUUAGGUUGAGCAGAUUGAAGCAGGCAGUCUUCAAUCUGUCUCCACAGAUGGGAGGGAGACCUUUCAGGAAGAGUUUAAUAUGCUGGGGUUUUACAUCUACAUUUUAAACAUUUGAGUCAUUUAGCAGACACUCUCAUCCAGAGCGACUUACAGUAGUGAGUGCAUAUAGUUUUCGCACUGAGCACCCGUGGGAAUCGAACCCACAACCCUGGCGUUGCAAGCGCCAUGCUCUAAUAACUGAGCCACACCGUCUCUAACUUAACACACUAUUAGUUGUUCCCUCCCAUGGAGUAUUCUACCUGUGGGCUGUCAGAGGAGAACGCCAUUCUCAAGUUUGGAGAGGACAAUGUGGAGGUGUACCAUAGCUACUACUGGCCAUUGGAGUGGACGGUACAUAGAAGGGACAAGAUGCUAUGCUAAAGUCAUCUGCCACAUACCUGACCAGGUCAGCACUCACUUCAUGAC